UACAGAGGGUGCGAGCGUUGUCCGGAAUCACUGGGCGUAAAGGGCGCGUAGGCGGCCCGAUAAGUAGGGGGUGAAAUCUUGCGGCUCAACCGCAAGGCUGCCUUCUAAACUGUCGGGCUGGAGCACGGUAGAGGCAGAUGGAAUUCCCGGUGUAGCGGUGGAAUGCGUAGAGAUCGGGAAGAACACCAGUGGCGAAGGCGGUCUGCUGGGCCGUUGCUGACGCUGAGGCGCGACAGCGUGGGGAGCAAACAGG
rnacentral:rRNA from 1 species